rnacentral:rRNA from 1 species
CCUACGGGAGGCAGCAGUGGGGAAUCUUGGACAAUGGGGGCAACCCUGAUCCAGCCAUGCCGCGUGAGUGAAGAAGGCCCUAGGGUCGUAAAACUCUUUCGCCUGUGAUGAUAAUGACAGUAGCAGGUAAAGAAACCCCGGCUAACUCCGUGCCAGCAGCCGCGGUAAUAUGGAGGGGGUUAGCGUUGUUCGGAAUUACUGGGCGUAAAGCGCACGUAGGCGGAUUAGAAAGUUAGAGGUGAAAUCCCGGGGCUCAACCCCGGAACUGCCUUUAAAACUACUAGUCUAGAGUUCGAGAGAGGUGAGUGGAAUUCCGAGUGUAGAGGUGAAAUUCGUAGAUAUUCGGAGGAACACCAGUGGCGAAGGCGGCUCACUGGCUCGAUACUGACGCUGAGGUGCGAAAGUGUGGGGAGCAAACAGGAUUAGAUACCCUGGUAGUCCACACCGUAAACGAUGAAUGCCAGUCGUCGGGUAGUAUACUAUUCGGUGACACACCUAACGGAUUAAGCAUUCCGCCUGGGGAGUACGGUCGCAAGAUUAAAACUCAAAUGAAUUGACGG